rnacentral:lncRNA from 1 species
CCAAAUUCUGAAUUUUGCAUAACAGCAUGCGGUACAAAUUCUGAAUCUUUUCACAGGAUAUAUUCUAAAUCUUACUUGAUAGCUUACAAAGCAAAACAACAUACAUAAAUGAUUCCUUCACAAACUAAUAUCUUGAGGAUGCUUCUUCUUCUUCAGGACAAUCAUUUCAAAAAAGAGGGAGACGACAAGGUAGAACAGAGCAACCACAAGGCGGAACUGCAAUUUCUGAAUCUUCUUCUUGAGGACAUUAAUUUCUCCACGAUGAUUGACUUCCAAAUCACACACAUAUGCAUCCAACAUCUUGUUCUUUGACAACCUGGCAUUGAGCAAAUCAUUUUCAUUCCUCAGACGUUCCUUUAGUCGACAGAGCAACAUAUUCAUAGAUGGAGUGUGUGAAUCAUCAUCCAGAGAAAAUAUCUGCAGUCAACUCCCUACGCACUGAGAACGAACAAUUACCAACAAAAUUAGAAGCAAACACAUCAGAAGCAACUGAUUAACAUACAUAAAUUUAAUUUGAAACAAAACACAGGCAGAGAAAUACCAAUGCUUUGCCAUAGUUGUGGUACCUCCUCCCUGGGUUCUUCGGGCUCCAUGAGAUCCACCUAGGGGCUUUCAUCUGACAACG